rnacentral:rRNA from 1 species
CUCCGGUUGAUCCUGCCGGACCUGACUGCUAUCGGAUUGGUACUAAGCCAUGCGAGUCAUUGUAGCAAUACAAGGCGGACGGCUCAGUAACACGUAGUCAACCUAACUCGUGGACGUGGAUAACCUCGGGAAACUGAGAAUAAACCACGAUAGACCAUAGUGCCUGGAAUGGCUUAUGGUCCAAACAGUUUACUGCCAUGGGAUGGGACUGCGGCCUAUCAGCUUGUUGGUGAGGUAAUGGCCCACCAAGGCGAUUACAGGUACGGGCUCUGAGAGGAGAAGCCCGGAGAUGGGUACUGAGACACGGACCCAGGCCCUAUGGGGCGCAGCAGGCGAGAAACCUUAGCAAUGUGCGAAAGCACGACUGGGUCAGUCCGAGUGAUUCCUGAUAAAGGAGUCUUUUGCUUGUCCUAAAAGCACAGGUGAAUAAGGGGUGGGCAAGUCUGGUGUCAGCCGCCGCGGUAAUACCAGCACCUCGAGUGGUCAGGACGUUUAUUGGGCCUAAAGCAUCCGUAGCCGGCUUUGCAAGUCUUCGGUUAAAUCCACCUGCUCAACAGAUGGGCUGCUGGAGAUACUACAAAGCUAGGGAGUGGGAGAGGCAGACGGUAUUCAGUGGGUAGGGGUAAAAUCCUCUGAUCCAUUGAGGACCACCAGUGGCGAAGGCGGUCUGCCAGAACACGUUCGACGGUGAGGGAUGAAAGCUGGGGGAGCAAACCGGAUUAGAUACCCGGGUAGUCCCAGCUGUAAACGAUGCAAACUCGGUGAUGCAUUGGCUUAUGGCCAAUGCAGUGCCGCAGGGAAGCCGUUAAGUUUGCCGCCUGGGAAGUACGGACGCAAGUCUGAAACUUAAAGGAAUUGGCGGGGGAGCA